AGCGAACGCUGGCGGCAGGCCUAACACAUGCAAGUCGAACGAACUCUUCGGAGUUAGUGGCGGACGGGUGAGUAACACGUGGGAACGUGCCUUUUGGUUCGGAAUAACUCGGGGAAACUUGUGCUAAUACCGAAUGUGCCCUUCGGGGGGAAAGAUUUAUCGCCAUUAGAGCGGCCCGCGUCUGAUUAGCUAGUUGGUGAGGUAACGGCUCACCAAGGCGACGAUCAGUAGCUGGUCUGAGAGGAUGACCAGCCACACUGGGACUGAGACACGGCCCAGACUCCUACGGGAGGCAGCAGUGGGGAAUCUUGCGCAAUGGGCGAAAGCCUGACGCAGCCAUGCCGCGUGAAUGAUGAAGGUCUUAGGAUUGUAAAAUUCUUUCACCGGGGACGAUAAUGACGGUACCCGGAGAAGAAGCCCCGGCUAACUUCGUG
rnacentral:rRNA from 1 species